UAGGGCUGGCUAAUGAGAAAUGAGAAGGCGCCGCUGACAGGUCCUCUCUCUCCGCGCUGCGCGCUCCCUCCGCGCCACGUUUAUCCUCCCUUUUCCUUUAUAUAUAUAUAUAUAUUUUUUUUUUUUUUUCAUAUCUAUCUAUAUAUGUAUAGAUAGAAUUUUCACCUCUCCUCCGCAUAGCGCGGUGGUGGGGUGGGGGGCGGCGCUUCCCCCCCACAAGCAUCUUCCGCGGGAUUACGCGCCUGGCCGCGCUGCUGCACCGGCUGCCGGACGGAGGGACCACGGCGGGGCUGCUGCAGGGGAUGGGCCCCUCUCCUCUUUUUUUUUUCCCUUUUUUUUUCCCCUUUUUUUUUUUUGCACCACUUGGGAUCCGAGCGAAAGGAUUGACUGCAGCAGGCGAACGGGGGAAGGUUUAUUGCGCUUCCUCCAGACCCCCCCCCCCCGUUUAUAGCAGCGCGGCGGGGCUCGGGGAAGGCGGCAGAGAACGGGCAGCGGCGGCGGAGACGGAGGGCAGGCCCCUCUCUCCGUGUUCACAGCGGACCUUGAUUUAAAUGUCCAUACAAUUAAGGCACGCGGUGAAUGCCAAGAACGAGGCUGACCAGCAUCUCCGCACCCGCGGAACCCCCCCCCGCAACCCAGCCCCUCCCCGAGCCCGGCCGCGGGGCGCCCAGGCGGCGCUGCGGACCCGCGCAAGUGGUACCCGCAGCGGAAGGAUGAAGGGGGGGGGAGAGAAGGAUGGGGGAGCAGCGCGAUUUGGGGAAGGCAGCAUCUUUUUUUUUUUUUGGGGGGGGGGGGGGUCCCCGGGAAAAGGGGGGGGUCCCUGCGCGCAUAGACACGCGGGGAAUGAAAUCUGGAGCUGUCACUCGCGGGUGGGCCCCGGGGGGGCCGCGGCUGCUUCUUCCCCCUUUGCCUCCGCUUUGUGCUUUGGCUUUAUUUUAUUUUAUUUUACUUUAUUUUAUUUUAUUUUAUAAUAUUUUAUUUUAUUUUUACUUUAUUUUACUUUAUUCUAUUUUAUUAUAUUUUCCUCUCCUUUUCUCCGCAGAGCGAAGGGUUUUCCCCCGCUCAAAAGCAAGCGCAGGUCUUGGGGUCACCGGGGCUCACGCUGCUCCCCUGGUGGGAUGGGGAGGCUGAGGCAAAGCUGCUUAUUUCCCCCCCCACUUUAUUUUUUAAAAGCAUCAUUAUUAUUUUUCCCAGUCGCUGUUUGUGCAUCUUUUCCCCUCCCUCCCCUUUAAUCCUUAUAAUUUAAAUCCAAAACGCCGGCUGGGGGGAGCGCUGUGUCUGCAGGGCGAGGCCGGGCGUAAAUCUCUUGGAGGGAUAAACAUGUCAUUUGUUCCCUUUGUAUGGUAAUGCUGUGUGUGUAUGUGCGUGUGUGUCCCCCAGCUGCCCCCCCAGCAGCUGCCCCGGCCAUACAUCCUCCCUACAAAAGAUCCCAAUUACCCAUCGGCUGCCUCAUUAUACCCCUAACACAGCCCCGGCGUGUGUGCAAGGAGCUGAAGGAAAGGAGGGGGUGGAAAGGGGGGAAAACAGCACCUGAAUUAUGCAGAAAAUAAAAUCAAAUUCAAAAACCUGGCAGCCGGAGGCAGCGGGAGGGGAGGGUGACGGGGCGAUGUCGAGACCCUGCGGCCUAACGAGCGGGUGCCCUCGCAGAGCCGCCCGCAGCGGGUGGUUUUCCACCCCACUGCUCUAUUUCCCCCCUCUUUUAUCACACUUUCAUUUCUAUUUUAUUUUAUUUUUUGCUUUCUCCCCACCUUUUUAGCCAGAAGGGUGCCUGGGAGCCCAUCACCCGCUGCGGCCCUUCGCCUCCCUGCCCUUCUCCAUCCUUCUCUCCCUUCCCUUCUCUUUGCAGCUGGAGCCCAACCUGCCCGCAUCCCUCCAUCCCCGCGGUCAGCCCAGUGCUCCCAGUAGGUGCUUUGCACUGGGCAAGGAAGGGCCUUACUGAAGGGGAUGGUUUCCAACCCUUUGAUGAUGGUGCCGGGGGCGAUCCAUCUCUUUUUGCAGCCCCUCGCCUCUGGGAGCAUCGACAGCAUCGGGGUCACUGGGACACCUCUUUGCACCCCAUCCCCGGGGCGCUGCAGGUAUUUUGGGGCAGCCCUCCCCGUUCAGUGCGGAUGCCGCAAGGAGCCCGUCGGCGGGUCGCGCCGUCGCCAAUAAAGCUCUUUCACUGCGGGUUCCUGCAUCCUCUCCUUUGUUCGUGGAGGUUUCUCGCCCAUCUCUUUACGGCAGCGGAGGCAGGACCCCUCCGAAGGACCCGCACCCAGCGCCAGGCAGAUCCCUGCCCAGCCGCACUAUGUGCCGAGCAUCCCUCUGCAGUGCCAGGACAGCUGGCGAAAUGGCUUUUCCAUUAACAAGCUGCGGCACAGGAGGGAGAAACGAGAUCUAAAUGACCCCCAAAUAAAUA